GAACCAACAAUGCCGCGUGAAGGAAGAAGCCUUCUGGGUUGUAAACUCUUUUUAGAAGAAGAACGAUCUUGUUUGUAUAGGUUGACGGUGACGUUACAUCACGAGAAGGCUCCGGCUAUGUACGUGCCAGCGGCCGUGGAAA
rnacentral:rRNA from 1 species